UGUGGUUCAUGACUGGGGUGAAGUCGUAACAAGGUAGCGCUAGGGGAACCUGGCGCUGGAUCACCUCCUUAUACGA
rnacentral:rRNA from 3 species